GACGAACGCUGACGGUGUGCUUUAGACAUGCAAGUCGAGCGAGAAAGCCCUUCGGGGUUAGUAAAGCGGCGAACGGGUGAGUAACACGUGGGCAAUCUGCCCCUCGCAGGGGGACAACCGGGGGAAACUCCGGCUAAUACCCCGUAAGCUAUGUGGAUCGCAUGGUUCACAUAGGAAAGGUAGCUUCGGCCAUCCGGCGAGGGAUGAGCCCGCGGUACAUUAGCUAGUUGGUGGGGUAACGGCCACCAAGGCGGCGAUGUAUAGCUGGUCUGAGAGAUG
rnacentral:rRNA from 1 species